rnacentral:rRNA from 1 species
GACGAACGCUGGCGGCGUGCUUAACACAUGCAAGUCGAACGCUGACGCUUGGUGCUUGCACUGGGUGGAUGAGUGGCGAAAGGGUGAGUAAUACGUGCGUAACCUGCCCUUGAAUCUGGGAUAAGCCUGGGAAACUGGGUCUAAUACUGGAUACGACAUGUCACCGCAUGGUGGUGUGUGGAAAGGGUUUUACUGGUUUUGGAUGGGCUCACGGCUUAUCAGCUUGUUGGUGGGGUAAUGGCCCACCAAGGCGACGACGGGUAGCCGGCCUGAGUGGGUGACCGGCCACACUGGGACUGAGACACGGCCCAGACUCCUACGGGAGGCAGCAGUGGGGAAUAUUGCACAAUGGGCGGAAGCCUGAUGCAGCGACGCCGCGUGAGGGAUGACGGCCUUCGGGUUGUAAACCUCUUUCAGCACGGAAGAAGCGAAAGUGACGGUACGUGCAGAAGAAGCGCCGGCUAACUACGUG